rnacentral:rRNA from 1 species
UGGCGGCGUGCCUAAUACAUGCAAGUUGAACGACAACAAAGACACCAGAGCUUGCUCUACCGUCUUUGUUGAGUAGCGAACGGGUGAGUAACGCGUGGGUAACCUGCCUUAUAGCGGGGAUAACUAUUGGAAACGAUAGCUAAUACCGCAUAACAAUAGAGAUUGCAUAAUCUUUAUUUGAAAAGUGCCAACUGGUACACUAUGAGAUGGACCCGCGUUGUAUUAGCUAGUUGGUAGUGUAAUGGACUACCAAGGCGAUGAUACAUAGCCGACCUGAGAGGGUGAUCGGCCACAUUGGGACUGAGACACGGCCCAAACUCCUACGGGAGGCAGCAGUAGGGAAUCUUCGGCAAUGGACGAAAGUCUGACCGAGCAACGCCGCGUGAGUGAAGAAGGUUUUUCGGAUCGUAAAACUCUGUUGUUAGAGAAGAAUGUUGAUUAGAGUGGAAAAUUAAUCAAGUGACGGUAUCUAACCAGAGAGGGACGGCUAACUACGUG